rnacentral:rRNA from 1 species
GAUGAACGCUAGCGACAGGCUUAACACAUGCAAGUCGAGGGGCAGCAUAAAAGUAGCAAUACUUUGGUGGCGACCGGCGCACGGGUGAGUAACGCGUAUGCAACCUACCUAUCAGAGGGGAAUAACCCGGCGAAAGUCGGACUAAUACCGCAUAAAACAGGGGCACCGCAUGGUGAUAUUUGUUAAAGAGAUUCGCUGAUAGAUGGGCAUGCGUUCCAUUAGGUAGUUGGUGAGGUAACGGCUCACCAAGCCGACGAUGGAUAGGGGAACUGAGAGGUUGGUCCCCCACACUGGUACUGAGACACGGACUAGACUCCUACGGGAGGCAGCAGUGAGGAAUAUUGGUCAAUGGGCGGGAGCCUGAACCAGCCAAGUCGCGUGAAGGAAGAAGGAUCUAUGGUUCGUAAACUUCUUUUGCAGGGGAAUAAAGUGCAGGACGUGUCCUGUUUUGUAUGUACUCUGAGAAUAAGGAUCGGCUAACUCCGUGCCAGCAGCCGCGGUAAUACGGAGGAUCCGAGCGUUAUCCGGAUUUAUUGGGUUUAAAGGGUGCGUAGGUGGUUUGAUAAGUCAGCGGUGAAAGUUUGCAGCUUAACUGUAAAAAUGCCGUUGAAACUGUCGGACUUGAGUGUAAAUGAGGUAGGCGGAAUGCGUGGUGUAGCGGUGAAAUGCAUAGAUAUCACGCAGAACUCCGAUUGCGAAGGCAGCUUACUAAGCUACAACUGACACUGAAGCACGAAAGCGUGGGGAUCAAACAGGAUUAGAUACCCUGGUAGUCCACGCAGUAAACGAUGAUUACUAGCUGUUUGCGAUACACAGUAAGCGGCACAGCGAAGCGUUAAGUAAUCCACCUGGGGAGUACGCCGGCAACGGUGAAACUCAA